AACGAACGCUGGCGGCAUGCCUAACACAUGCAAGUCGAACGAGACCUUCGGGUCUAGUGGCGCACGGGUGCGUAACGCGUGGGAACCUGCCCUUAGGUUCGGAAUAACUCCCCGAAAGGGGUGCUAAUACCGGAUAAUUUCUUCGGACCAAAGAUUUAUCGCCUUUGGAUGGGCCCGCGUUGGAUUAGCUAGUUGGUAGGGUAAAAGCCUACCAAGGCGACGAUCCAUAGCUGGUCUGAGAGGAUGAUCAGCCAGACUGGGACUGAGACACGGCCCAGACUCCUACGGGAGGCAGCAGUGGGGAAUAUUGGACAAGGGGCGAAAGCCUGAUCCAGCAAUGCCGCGUUAGUGAUGAAGGCCUUAGGGUUGUAAAGCUCUUUUACCCGGGAUGAUAAUGACAGUACCGGGAGAAUAAGCUCCGGCUAACUCCGUG
rnacentral:rRNA from 1 species